rnacentral:rRNA from 1 species
CAACGCUGGCGGCAGGCCUAACACAGCAAGUCGAGCGGAUGACGGGAGCUUGCUCCUUGAUUAGCGGCGGACGGGUGAGUAAUGCCUAGGAAUCUGCCUGGUAGUGGGGGACAACGUUUCGAAAGGAACGCUAAUACCGCAUACGUCCUACGGGAGAAAGCAGGGGACCUUCGGGCCUUGCGCUAUCAGAUGAGCCUWAGGUCGGAUUAGCUUUGUUGGUGAGGUAAUGGCUCACCAAGGCGGACGAUCCGUAACUGGUCUGAGAGGAUGAUCAGUCACACUGGAACUGAGACACGGUCCAGACUCCUAC